GUAUUUGACUCCAGGUCUUGGCCAUUGGGCCUAGGUCUUUCCAUGAGAUGUCAGGGGAUUUAGUGAGGGAUAUAUGUGGGACAGCUGUUUCCCAAUGGCGGUAGAGAUGUGUCACAUUCUCUGAGAGAUGGACUAAGAUGAGCAUGGUACCUGUGGAAUCCCAUAACAAGUCGGUCAGAGUAAUUUGAAUUUCCUUGAGUUGGAACAGUUCUUCC